GGAGGGUGGGAGGGAGGGAGACGCAAGAGGGAAGAGAUAUGGGAACAUAUGUAUAUGUAUAACUGAUUCACUUUGUUAUAAAGCAGAAAUUAACACAUCAUUGUAAAGCAAUUAUACUCCAAUAAAGAUGUUAAAAAAAAAAAAAAAAGACUUGGCCACCUCCUGUGGGUCCUCAGAUGGUGAGCUAGUGCUGAAACCCAGGUCAGUCUGACCCAAAGUCUGUGAUGUUAAGCGCCAGGCCGUAGGGAGUUUCCAGAAAUCCUGAUUCUUGAGAAGACGCUGACUCAAAGCUGGCAGGCUGCCUGGUCCCUAGCAGUUAGUCAACAUUGCGUGGACGAGUCAGUAGUGACCUGGGCCUGGGAGACCAAGGGGCUUGGCUCUUUUCCUGAACUAUACCCCCAGGAAGGAGGGAAAUUCCUUUCUCCAGACACCAUCCACAGCUCUCCCGGGAGGACGGACGGAGAAAAAAUGAGGCUGCUCUGUCUGGAUGGAGUUGGGAGUGGGGAUGCUGGAAGGUUCAAGCCCCAACAUUCAGCGUCCUCACGUCCCCGCGGUAGGGGCUGAUGUGCCCUGACGGACUCUUAGGGCAACUGGAACAUCAUCUGAAACCCCUUAAGGAGGUCAAGAGUGAGGCCACAGCCUUUGUUCACAUAGACACAGAUGGGACCAGGGCGGGGAACGGGAAGGGGACGAGGCCGGGACACGCCACGCCCCACCACUUUGAGCAUCUCUGCUCCAGGAGCCUUGAGGCAGUGACCCAAUCCCCAUCUGCUUCCUGCAGGGCCGAUGAAGGGUAAGGGUCAAUAACACGUCUUUCGUGAGGAUGUUAAUAAUGACCGUUUCUUACCAAUCUUACUUCUCCUAAGAGGCAAUGCAGGCAACUGGCCCACAGCUGUCCUGGCCAUGAGCUUGACUAGCCCGGGGCUGCCUUGGCAUCCGGCCCCAGGUGGGCACUUCCAUCCUGGACAGAGGGAAGGAAGGCCAGGUCCCAGUGUCCUGAGAACAUUAAAGGAGGGCGUGGGGCAGGGGUGGGAGGUGGAGGCCCCUGCUUACUACCUUGGCCAUUUCCGGGGAGACAGUUCCUGGUGGCCCGAGCAGCUGGUGGCCAGGAGGUGCUAUGCAAACUGCUUUUAGGCAACCUUGCCUCUUCUCCCAGGCAGGGGUGGAAAUUCUCUUCCUGUGUAAGCAGAUCGUCCAUCUGUCCAGGCCAACUCUGUGGCCUAAGUGCUGUGUGGCCUCCAGAGCAUCUCUGAGCCUGGGUUUCCUCGUCUGGAAAGAGGGGAUAAUAACACUCACCUCACAAAACGUUGUAGGGAUUGUAGGUCAUUCGUGACUGUGAAGUUCUGUGAGGGCUAUAAUGCACCGUAUAAAUGAAAACUUAUUUCCUGGAGCCCUUGAGGCAAAGAAGAGGUUUCCCUCUCAUGAACUCGUGGUGUGGAAAAAGCACCAUCAGGCCAUUUGCAGGAGAGCUCAGGGCCGGGGUUCUGGAGGGGCAGGCAAGGGCAAAGAGGAGUAAUACGACAGGCGCGUGCUCGCUCUGGGUUUGUCCUUUCUCUGCUGUUUCUGGAUAGGUGGCCGGGGCAUCUCCUUCCACACCCCAUGACUCACCAAGUGGAAAAUGGGCAGAGUCCCUGUCUUCAUCUUAUCCAAAGCUUUUGACUCUUUCCCAGGAUGUGGGCUCACGGUUAGAUGUGGUAGGUGGAGCCAGUCUGGUUUAACUUAGUCCCUUUCUGGUCUGAUCACUUUGCUGGCAGAGGGUCAGCUGUUGUCAUUUACAACCUUCUCACUCAGGGCAGCUGCAGUCCUUGGAUUCCCUCAGAGCCGGGAAAGUGGUGGGACAAAGACAGAGGGACAGACAGACAGACAGAUUGAGGUUGCAAAAUUCUGGUAAGUGAGUCUGGAAAAAAGAGAUCUCCCUUCACUGCUUGGGGAGGUGGCUAUGACAGUGAGGCCAUAUGUAUAUUAGUGAAAAUGAAAAUGAGGUCAUGUUGAUAUCUGUGUUUCACGGCUGUGAUUUCUGAGGACAACGGCCAGAGAAUCAGACUCACAUUGUCUGCUCCCCACUGUUAGGCUGAAAAUACAGAGGAAGAGCCAGUAACACCAGGGGGAUCACAGCCACGGCCAAAGCUGUUUCCCGAUGCCCUGUUUGCCUGUGUUUUUUUUCACGACUACUGGCCAUCAUCUUGGCCAAUAGUAGGUCAGGAUAUAAAGUUUGAGGGAUGGAUAGAUAAGCAUUGCCCAUUUUCUUAUAUAUACCAUGAAGUACCAACUUCAGACAUCAAGUGAAAUAAAGAGAAAAUAUAGGAUCUUACGUCCUGUGAUAUAAAAUGUUUAUUAACUGGGAUAUAAAUGGUAUUUAUUUGUUGGCAAACCUAACCUACAGGAAAACGAAGACCUAGCAUUGAAUUCCAUUUGCUAAAAACAUACUCUUUCUUCUUGGAGGUGGGAUAAAAUGAAUCAGCAACUUGAUGGGGGUGAAGAGAAGAUAGAGAAAGCACGGAGACUAUUAAUGAAACAUUUUCCUUGGGGUUUAGCUCCUGGCUUCAGCUCACGGCAGCUGAAAUCCCGGUUCCACUACUUAUUUCCCAUGUGUCUCAGGACAAGGUACUUAGCCUCCAUUUCCCCCUCUUUCCUCCUUUAUAAACUGGAGAUAAUAGUAAAAAUCAUUCUCUCUUGUUAUGAAUAUUAAAUGAGUUAAUGCAAGUAAAUUACUAGAACAAUGCUUGGUUUGUGGUAAACAUUCAACCAACGGGAGCUACUGAUAUGAUUUCAGUGGAAAGUUGCACUUGACUGGGAGCCCCGUGAAGGCAGGGGCAUGACUGCCUGUCUCACCACCUCGAUGUUUAGCAGAGUGCUUGGGGCCCAACAGACCCCUCAUAACUAUUUGUUGACGGAACAAUGGGAAGAGUCUGGCUCCAUGGAAGUUGUCUAAACUGUAGAGUUCAGAAAGUGUUGAAAGACGUAAUUUGGGAUUGUGAGGAUAAAGUGAGCAGCUUCCACACCUCAGCAAUGACCGAGAUGACACAGAGAGACCCUGGCCUUGUGAGUCUGAGGCUCAGACCAAGCAGGCCAACACCUAAUUUUCAGCAUGGCGGCGUCUAAAAGCUAGUGAAGGGUAGAAUCGUCUAUAACCAGUUGGAGAGUCGAGUCGUUCACAAAAAUGCUAACAGUGGCAUCGAGGGUCCACAGUGCAUAUCCAUGGGAACCAAUACUCCCCCUCCAAUUCCAGCUUGCAGUAUUUCUAGUCGUGUUGUUUGGGUGAGGACCAGCGGUCAGGGGUACAGGGACUGCCAUGGGGUCGUGGGGUGAUGGGAGAUGAAGGGUCUCUUUCUCCAAGGCAGCUGGGCUUCUUUUAAUGGGCAAGGUCAGCAGUGAAAUGACCAGGAAGAGAAAUUGCUGUCAUUAUGCAUCAGUGGCAAUCUUCUAUCAAUGAUUCCCCCUGUACCGUUCCCUUUGCCACGGGCUGAAGCAAACAUGGCCUUAAUCAGUUUUACAUCUCCGUUUAAUUUUAUUGGAAAGAAGAGCUGGCAAUGCAUCACAGAGGCCGGGUGUGACACGAAAGGUGACCCCCCGCCAACUUAAUGGCACAAUACAUAACCCUUAAUGAAGUUGCUAUCUUGUCCCUCUUUGGCUGUCUCAGCCCCGUGAUUUACGAUGGCAUCAUUUUGCUUUGCCCUCUUUUCAUUUCAGCUUUGACAAAGUGGAUGGAACAAUUAUCUUCGUUAUCGGCCAGAGCAGUAGAAAUGUGAUAGUUGGGAGAUUUCUGCGGGUGGAAGGCCUUGGCUGGGGGUCAAAACCAAUGGUGCAAUGUGCUUAGGAACUUUUUUUUCUCCUCUUCCCUUCUUCCUGUGACUGUGGGCUCUUGAAGAUGGAUGGUGUAUCCCAGAGAGCGGUGUGAGUCCUGUAUCACUGUGGCAAGAAGUAAGUUCAGGAGACAGGGAGGCUGCAGAGAGAACAGAGCUUGGAAUUUUGCAGUUUGAGCUCCUUAUAUAUUUUUUAAUUUUUUAAUUUUUUUGUUUUUCGAUAUGCGGAUCUCUCACUGUUGUGGCCUCUCCCAUUGCAGAGCACAGGCUCCGGACGCGCAGGCUCAGCGGCCAUGGCUCACGGACCCAGCCGCUCCGUGGCAUGUGGGAUCCUCCCAGACCGGGGCACGAACCCGUGUCCCCUGCAUCGGCAGGCGGACUCUCAACCACUGCGCCACCAGGGAAGCCUGAGCUUUUUGUUUUUCCGUGCACACCCAGGCCAAGUUCUCGCUAUCACAGCUUUAUCUCCCACCCAUUUGCAGGAAUGGAACAUAGAUUUUUCUAUUUUAUAAAUGACACCCUGCAUUUAUUUUGUCUAAUUAAAUGUUGUUUAUUCAUUCACUACUCAAUCAACAUUUAUUGGGUGCCUCCUAGAUAUUAAACAAAAUUAGGUGCUGUGGAAAGACAGAGAAGGAAUAGUGAUGGAUUUAAUCCUCGAGAAAUGGUAUAUUCAACCAAUAGAAAUAAGACGUGAAUAUAAGUGAAGGUAACAUAAGAUGGGAAGGGAUUUGCAUAUCAAGAGCUGAAGGCGGAGGGUCCUCGGGUUGUUCACAGGAAGGAGAAUUUAUUUCCAAAAUGAGAGCUGGACCUUAAAAGGGGAACAGGAUGUGGACAGAUAAAAAUGAGAUGCAUUUGUAUCUAUCAUCUUUUUUUUUUUAAACAUCUUUACUGGAGAAUAAUUGCUUGCCAAUGGUGUGUUAGUUUCUGCUGUAUAACAAAGUGAAUCAGCUUUAUGCAUACAUACAUCCCCAUAUCCCCUCCCUCUUGAGCCUCCCUCCCACCCUCUCCAUUUCACCCCUCUAGGUGGUCACAAAGCACCGAACUGAUGUCCCUGUGCCAUGGAGCUGCUUCCCACUAGCUAGCUAUUCUACAUUUGGUAGUGUAUAUAUGUCCAUGCCACUCUCUCACUUUGUCACAGCUUACCCUUCCCCCUCCCUGUGUCCUCAAGUCCAUUCUCUACGUCUGCGUCAUUAUUCCUGUCCUGCCCCUAGGUUUGUCAGAACCAUUUGUUUUUUAGAUUCCAUAUAUAUGUGUUAGCAUAUGGUAUUUGUUUUUCUCUUUCUGACUUACUUCACUCUGUAUGACAGACUCUAGGUCCCUCCACCUAACUACAAAUAACUCAAUCUCGUUUCUUUUUAUGGCUGAGUAAUAUUCCAUUGUAUAUAUGUGCCACAUCUUCUUUAUCCAUUCAUCUGUUGAUGGACACUUAAGUUGCUUCCAUGUCCUGGCUAUUGUAAAUAGUGCUGCAAUGAACAUUGUGGAAUAUUCUUUUUGAAUUAUGGUUUUCUCAGGGUAUAUGCCCAGUAGGGACAUUGCUGGGUCAUAUGGUAGUUCUAUUGUUAGCUUUUUAAGGCACCUCCAUACUGUUCUCCAUAGUGGCUGUAUCAAUUUAUAUUCCACCAACAGUGCAAGAGGGUUCCCUUUUCUCCACACCCUCUCCAGCACUUAUUGUUUGUAGAUUUUUUGAUGAUGGCCAUUCUGACUGGUGUGAGUUGAUACCUCAUUGUAGUAUCGAUUUGCAUUUCUCUAAUAAUUAAUGAUGUUGAGCAUUCUUUCAUGUGUCUGUUGGCAAUCUGUAUGUCUUCUUUGGAGAAAUGUCUAUUUAGGUCUUCUGCCCAUUUUUGGAUUGGGUUGUUUGUUAUUUUG